rnacentral:rRNA from 1 species
UCCGUAGGUGAACCUGCGGAAGGAUCAUUAACAAGCCGUGAAGAUCGCCCUGGAAAGGGAAUGAUCUCUCACCCGGCCACCCUUGCUUACUUUAACCUGUUGCUUUGGUGGGCCCGCCGCGAGGCCGCCGGGAAACUUUGAGUUUCCAGGCCCGUGCCCACCAAGGUCUUACCGAACUCUGCAAGUCUUUGCUGUCUGAGCGUGAAAGCGCAAUUAUUUAAAACUUUCAACAACGGAUCUCUUGGUUCCGGCAUCGAUGAAGAACGCAGCGAAAUGCGAUAAGUAAUGUGAAUUGCAGAAUUCCGUGAAUCAUCGAAUCUCUGAACGCAUAUUGCGCCCUCUGGUAUUCCGGAGGGCAUGCCUGUCCGAGCGUCAUUACUACCCUCAAGCGCAGCUUGUUUGUUGAGCCAUUGUCCCUUAAUGGACAGGCUCGAAAUGCAGUGGCGAUGCCGAGUUUGGUGCCCGAGUGUAUGGAGCUUUGUCACACGCUUUGGUGGCCCAGCCGGCAUUCUGUCUUUAUAUCAUCUAAGAUUUGACCUCGGAUCCGGUAGGAAUACCCGCUGAACUUAAGCAUAUCAAUAAGCGGAGGA